GCGAAAUGCGAUAAGUAAUGUGAAUUGCAGAAUUCCGUGAAUCAUCGAAUCUUUGAACGCACAUUGCGCCCUCUGGCAUUCCGGGGGGCAUGCCUGUCCGAGCGUCAUUACGCACCCUCAAGCCCGGCUUGUGUGAUGGGCCCCGGCGUCUCGUUCGCGAGACGGGCCCGAAAGGCAGCGGCGGCGUCGACCCGAUGAGCCCGAGCGUAUGGGGACUUCUGUCACACGUUCGCGGUGCGGACCGGCGCCUGCUUGACUUUUCUGAUUAUCCAGGUUGACCUCGGAUCGGGUAGGGAUACCCGCUGAACUUAA
rnacentral:misc_RNA from 1 species